rnacentral:lncRNA from 1 species
GCCUGUUAGAAGACCAACCAAGCAUGAAGAUAUUAUUCCUGAAUUUCGAACCCAUUCAACUUGUUCUGAAGACGAAGAAGAAGAAGAAGAAGAAGGUUCUUCAUCCUGUUCAUCGAUGUCUCUAUUUUGGCUGUUGUCAGGAGGCAGAGAAAACCUACGCCUUGAUCGGCGGCGGCCAUUUGUAAUAGUGAAGUUGGUGGCGUAAUUCUUGUUUGAGCAAGGACAAGAAGAAGAAGAAGAAGAAGAGGAGGAGGAGGCAGCAGCAGCGAAAAGGAGAAACCGAUGAUGAUGAUGAUGAUGCCAGCUGGCCGUUUGAAGUCCAACCGCAUUAUAUCCUAAACUAACCAUUUCUCACCAUAUUCCAUCUUCUUUCCCC